AUGCUCAGGCAUCUGGCGACCAGAUCAACAUGCCCAGUAUGUGGCCGAGAGGAGGAAGGUUUAUACCAUGCCCUGGUGGCGUGCUCUCAUGCUAGAAUGGUGUGGACCAGUAUGAGGGAGAGAUGGCCUCUCCCAGAUGACAAGUUGCUGGUGGAUAAUGGCAAGGAGUGGAUCCUACAUCUAUUAUCGAGUUGUUCUGAUGCUGUUCGUGACAUGAUUAUUAUGUUAUGCUGGCGUAUCUGGCAGCGAAGGAACGACCUCACUCAUGGCAUGGAAACCCCUCCAGUUCAUGUGACGGUCGAAUUUUUGGAUAGCUACUACAGAUCGGUGUGCCUGGCAGGCCGGUAUACUACAGAGGAAAUUCUCAAGGGGAAGAUGUCAUCUUCGGCUCUCCCAAGCAAGGCAGUGAAGACGGCGCUAGUAGCAGCGCCAUGGCCCAAACCACCACAAGGCCGGGUAGCACUCUCGGUUGAUGGUUCUUUUAGUGGUACCGACGGAUCAGCGGCAGCAGGUAUGGUAUUACAUGAUCAACAAUGGUCAUAUUAUCUUCUCGGCGUACCGCGUGAUCUUCUAUUGCAAUGA
rnacentral:rRNA from 1 species